rnacentral:tRNA from 1 species
GGAUCCGAAGCUCAAGGGCCGAGCGGGCGUUUGUUAAACGUCGGGUUGUGGGUUCGAUUCCCACCGGAUCCGCCA